CUGGAGUCUGGAAAACCACGCGGGAGGAGGUUGUGGGGAUAUGGACGAGCAUCCGAGGCCCCCGGGUGCGUACGGCUGCGCAUGAGUGGGCUGUAAUCGGGUGUCUGGGGUUACAGACGUUCCACGUUCCGUCUCCCUGUGCCAGCCCUCAGGACCUGAGCAGCGGCCUUGCCGUAGCCUAUGUGCUGAACCAGAUAGACCCCUCCUGGUUCAACGAGGCAUGGCUCCAGGGCAUCUCGGAAGAUCCAGGUCCCAACUGGAAGCUGAAGGUGACAAGUGGACUCCUGAUUAGAGGACAGACUGGUGAAGAGAUGACCAGGGACGGGCCAGCUAGGCACAUGUCCUGGGUGAUGGGCAGGAAGAGGGACAGAUGUCUGGUGAUCAACCAUUUGUUCAUCCAUUC
rnacentral:lncRNA from 10 species